rnacentral:misc_RNA from 1 species
GAUGAAGAACGCAGCGAAAUGCGAUAAGUAAUGUGAAUUGCAGAAUUCAGUGAAUCAUCGAAUCUUUGAACGCACAUUGCGCCCGUCAGUAUUCUGGCGGGCAUGCCUGUUCGAGCGUCAUUACGCCCCUCAAGUCCCCUGUGGACUUGGUGUUGGGGAUCGGCGAGGCUGGUUUUCCAGCACAGCCGUCCCUUAAAUUGAUUGGCGGUCUCGCCGUGGCCCUCCUCUGCGCAGUAGUAAAACACUCGCAACAGGAGCCCGGCGCGGUCCACUGCCGCAAAACCCCCCAACUUUUUAUAGUUGACCUCGAAUCAGGUAGGACUACCCGCUGAACUUAAGCAUAUCAAUAAGCGGAGGA